AUUGAACGCUGGCGGCAGGCCUAACACAUGCAAGUCGAACGGUAACAGGAAGAAGCUUGCUUCUUUGCUGACGAGUGGCGGACGGGUGAGUAAUGUCUGGGAAACUGCCUGAUGGAGGGGGAUAACUACUGGAAACGGUAGCUAAUACCGCAUAUCGUCGCAAGACCAAAGAGGGGGACCUUCGGGCCUCUUGCCAUCGGAUGUGCCCAGAUGGGAUUAGCUAGUAGGUGGGGUAACGGCUCACCUCGGCGACGAUCCCUAGCUGGUCUGAGAGGAUGACCAGCCACACUGGAACUGAGACACGGUCCAGACUCCUCCGGGAGGCAGCAGUGGGGAAUAUUGCACAAUGGGCGCAAGCCUGAUGCAGCCAUGCCGCGUGUAUGAAGAAGGCCUUCGGGUUUUAAAGUACUUUCAGCGGGGAGGAAGGGAGUAAAGUUAAUACCUUUACUCAUUGACGUUACCCGCAGAAGAAGCACCGGCUAACUCCGUG
rnacentral:rRNA from 1 species